rnacentral:rRNA from 1 species
CCCUUAGAUGUUCUGGGCCGCACGCGUGCUACACUGAGUGGAUCAGCGGGUCAGGUUGCGCGAAAGUGUUUCCUAAUCUUGAAAUCCGCUCGUGAUGGGGAUUGACGGUUGCAAUUUUCCGUCAUGAACGAGGAAUACCUUGUAAGCGCGGGUCAUCAUCCCGCGCUGAGUACGUCCCUGCCCUUUGUACACACCGCCCGUCGCUCCUACCGAUUGAGUGGUCCGGUGAGGCUUUGGGAUCUGAGCGGAAAGAGCGUUUCGCUGUUUCUGCUCGGAAAACUCAGUCGAACCUUAUCAUUUAGAGGAAGGAGAAGUCGUAACA